rnacentral:snRNA from 12 species
UUGGCUUAAACUCAAUGAGUAAGGAAACUAACGCCCUACCUGACAAGUAGGGCUGCCUGUUGGAUCGAGUGAUCCAUGGGUUUCUAAUAUUUGACGGAGGUGGAAUGGCCGUCAUUUUAGGAACCCGCUACUUUUAGGGUGACUAAAAAGGGGGCCGGUCCCCGC